ensembl:ncRNA lncRNA:CR44617 long non-coding RNA:CR44617
CCAACCAAAGGGAAAACUUUUUUCCGACUUUGGCCUAAAGGGUUUAACGGCCAAGUCAGAAGGGAAAAAGUUGCGCCAAAAAUGGCGUUAAAAUGUGUAAUCAGAGAAGCGACACGAAAAGGGGAUCAGCUCUUGGCUGGCAAUUGGUAGGUCAGAGGUGGAUUGGGAAAAGGCAAGUCAGCAACUGUCGAUGACGGCGACUGACUGUUAAUGAAAAUUGUUUUGGCUGUGUGGAAAAAAAUACGCGGGAAUCCGUGAAUUUUCCGAGGAGCUGGUGGAGCGAAGAAAACGGGGUGCUGCUGUUGUAAAUGAUUGGUGAAAGUCACACGCCCGCAGCCUUGCCAAACUAAUUAACGCCAAAUGGAGCUAAGGCCUUUGAAUGAUGGCUGCAGGCUAGCUUAUGAAAAGGGGUUGAAGAGAAGUGGAAAAAUUGGUAGAAAGGGAUUUGCUCAAGAUGCC